rnacentral:rRNA from 1 species
GAUGAACGCUGGCGGCGUGCCUAAUACAUGCAAGUCGAGCGAACGGACGAGAAGCUUGCUUCUCUGAUGUUAGCGGCGGACGGGUGAGUAACACGUGGAUAACCUACCUAUAAGACUGGGAUAACUUCGGGAAACCGGAGCUAAUACCGGAUAAUAUUUUGAACCGCAUGGUUCAAAAGUGAAAGACGGUCUUGCUGUCACUUAUAGAUGGAUCCGCGCUGGAUUAGCUAGUUGGUAAGGUAACGGCUUACCAAGGCGACGAUGCGUUGACGACCUGAGAGGGGGAUCCGGCACAAUGGAACCGAGACCAGGUCCAGACCCCCAAGGGAGGCAGCAGGGGGGAAUAUUUGACAAUGGGGGAAAGGCUUAACCAGCCAUGGCGCGGGUGUGAAGAAGGGCUUCGGAUUGUAAAACACUUUUAAUUGGGAGGAAGGGCAGUUAGUUAAUACCUUGCUGUUUUGACGGUACCAACAGAAGAAGCACCGGCUAACUUCGUG